rnacentral:rRNA from 1 species
UACGUAGGGCGCAAGCGUUAUCCGGAAUUAUUGGGCGUAAAGAGCUCGUAGGCGGUCUGUUGCGUCGGCUGUGAAAACCCGGGGCUCAACUCCGGGCCUGCAGCCGAUACGGGCAGACUAGAGUUCGGCAGGGGGAGACUGGAAUUCCUGGUGUAGCGGUGAAAUGCGCAGAUAUCUGGAGGAACACCGGUGGCGAAGGCGGCAUCCUGGACCGGCAUUGACGCUGAGGCGCGAAAGCCAGGG